CUCAAAUGAAUUGACGGGGGCCCGCACAAGCGGUGGAGCAUGUGGUUUAAUUCGAUGCAACGCGAAGAACCUUACCUACUCUUGACAUCCAGAGAACUUAGCAGAGAUGCUUUGGUGCCUUCGGGAACUCUGAGACAGGUGCUGCAUGGCUGUCGUCAGCUCGUGUUGUGAAAUGUUGGGUUAAGUCCCGCAACGAGCGCAACCCUUAUCCUUUGUUGCCAGCGAUUCGGUCGGGAACUCAAAGGAGACUGCCAGUGAUAAACUGGAGGAAGGUGGGGAUGACGUCAAGUCAUCAUGGCCCUUACGAGUAGGGCUACACACGUGCUACAAUGGCAUAUACAAAGAGAAGCGACCUCGCGAGGGCAAGCGGACCUCAUAAAGUAUGUCGUAGUCCGGAUUGGAGUCUGCAACUCGACUCCAUGAAGUCGGAAUCGCUAGUAAUCGUAGAUCAGAAUGCUACGGUGAAUACGUUCCCGGGCCUUGUACACACCGCCCGUCACACCAUGGGAGUGGGUUGCAAAAGAAGUAGGUAGCUUAACCUUCGGGAGGGCGCUUACCACUUUGUGAUUCAUGACUGGGGUGAAGUCGUAACAAGGUAAC
rnacentral:rRNA from 1 species